CAGCAAUACCCAGACAGGCUACCACAGCUAGUCCACCGGACCUUGGCACGACCACCACUUUCAAAUUGAUGAUCCCAACUACUCAAUCAACAACAGCAAAACAGACAACGAUUUUCGUCUUCGGAGAACUUGAUGAAGAAUCGUCUGAUUAUUUCUACGAUGAAGUUUCUACCGAACAAGUGACGCCCACACUCUCCACCCUGCCUCCCAGCACAGCUGAGACUACGUUUCCGUUUCCGGUGGUCAUUACCACUCAAAAAUUGUCUACACAGACGCCCUUUCUAAAGGAGGAGGAGAUACCUACUCUGAUCAGGACUCUACGUGACAAGGUGAACCACUUCACCGGUUCCCUGGAGGAUCACAAAAACUUCUGA